rnacentral:rRNA from 1 species
CCUUAAUAGCGGCUGCACCAUUAGGAUGUCCUGAUCCAACAUCGAGGUCGUAAACCCCCUCGUCGAUAGGGACUCUGGGAGAGGAUUGCGCUGUUAUCCCUAGGGUAACUCGGUCCGUUGAUCGGCGUUCGCCGGAUCAUUUUUGGUCAGAAAUUCUGGUACUUAGAGUUGUGGCUCUUGGUUGUGGGGGCAGUGCCCCCAGUCCACAUGGGGGCUUUGUUUUCCCCCGCGGUCGCCCCAACCAAAGACAUAGGGGCUAGGGGUCACUGUGUUUUUACCUGUUAAUUUAAGGUUACUUGACGUGAUCUGCCUGGUGUCUAAAGCUCCAUAGGGUCUUCUCGUCUUAUGUAUUUAUGUCCGCUUCUGCACGGG